rnacentral:rRNA from 1 species
UACGUAGGGAGCAAGCGUUGUCCGGAAUCAUUGGGCGUAAAGCGCGCGUAGGUGGCUUCGUAAGUCCGUUGUGAAAGUCAAAGGCUCAACCUUUGAAAGCCGAUGGAUACUGCGGAGCUAGAGUACGGAAGAGGCGAGUGGAAUUCCUGGUGUAGCGGUGGAAUGCGCAGAUAUCAGGAGGAACACCAAUAGCGAAGGCAGCUCGCUGGGACGUUACUGACACUGAGAGACGAAAGCUAGGGGAGCAAAUGGG